UNUAUUUAAUGCCUGAUUUCUUAAUACAC
rnacentral:piRNA from 1 species